rnacentral:RNase_P_RNA from 1 species
GAAGUCCGCCAGGCCGUCGCUGGUGCAUGUCCCGAAAGGGCGCACUGGAGGAACGUCCGGACUGCGAAGGACAGCGUAGCAGCUAACGGCUGCCCACCGUGAGGUGAGGAUCAGAGCAACAGAGACGAGCCGAUUCAGUUCGGGUGAAACGGGCAAUCUCUACGCGCAGCAAUACCAAGUAGGCCAGCGUUGAUGUGGUUCCGCAGAGCUGGCGGGUAGGUAGCACCGAGCCGUGUGGGCGACCCACGGCCCAGAGGAAUGACGGUCACGCCGCGGGCAACCGCGGUGCACAGAAUCCGGCGUAACGGUGGGCUUCACAC